rnacentral:misc_RNA from 1 species
CUCUGACCGAAAGGCGUGAUGAGC